CCCUCCUUUUUAUUUUUUGGGUCCUCGCUGUUGCACUCCCCACAACACCAAUCUUCCGUCACUAUGAGCAGAUCAGGGCAGCCUCCAGAUCUCAAAAAACAGGUACAUGGAUAAGAAGCUCCAAAAGUGGCCGAAGGAGCAAAAUCUGCCAUCCUUUUAUCCAUGUACGAAACCAAAGUAUAAAGAUAUGAAGUAUGGCCGCCAAGUUAGAUUCAAAUUUGGAACAGUGGACCUUAGUCUCCCAAGAUGUUCAAGGACGGAAAAGGAAUAUUAAUACGGUAGAGUUUAUACAACGGGCAGCUUAAAGUCUAUUUUUACAUGAAGCUCAACGAGUAGUCGUAGACAACAGCUCCUUAACUUUCACUUUGGUUUCUCCUUUAGGAUGUUCUUGUAAUUCUCGAAAAACGUACAUACUUUGCAUAUGAACCUACUUAAAUUCGAGUACUCGUAGAGUGUAAUAUUCUAU